UUUUCUUUCAAUUUUUCUAAUUAUUUUUUAAUUUUUAAAUACUUUUUAAAUAUUUUGAUAUUUUAAGAGGAUGCUGGAGUGAUGGUCAAACUUGAUCAAGGUCGAUAAUGUAGAAUCGUUAGCACACAGCUUUAACAAAAUUUUGUAUGUAUUUUAUAGAUUUGGAAAACGUCAACUCUGAUCAAAUUAGCAGCAAGAACGAGGAUUUACCACCUUCAUUGAAACAAAUCAUGGAAAUAUAAGUUUUAUGGCAUGACAGUUUGUCAAGUGUAGCACGUAUAUGGGACACAUGUACAAGAGGUGAUGCUGCUACCGCUUUUAAAAUCCUUUUUGGUAUAACUAAGGACACAUGUUGCAGUAGAAGGAUGGAAAGAAACAUCCAGAAGUAGAGAGGAAUGAAACGAUGACAUCGCAUCGGCCGAGUGAGUACUUGUUGCACUUUGUUUAUCGCUUAUUACUAGGUUAAUGACGAUAAUUCAAUCAAGUAUUUAUAGAUAACGAGAUGGUUACUACCUGAAAAAAUUGAAAAGCCAUUUGUUAGCCUUGAAAAUUAUGAAUUUUUAUAGGAUUUUAUGGUGCUCAGGAAAAUUUUUAGGAAACUACUGUUUAAUUUAAAUUGUACUUUUUUACAAAGAAAAUUGUCUCUUCAAUUAUUUGUUUUUCUUGCUGAUGCAAAAUUGAUUGAGCUACGAAUAUUCGUUCACAUACAUUCUCUCAUGAUUCACGAGUUUUUAUUUAAAAAAAGUUUAUAUUUAAAAUUAGCAGAUAAUAGAAGACAAUAGAUCAGGAGAACAUUAUAAACGGCAUAUAUUUUUUAAUGCCAAUAUGAUUGCGAACAUUGAUAAUAUGCUUUCACAUUCGUGAGUCCUUCGUACUUUGUAAUUCUUCGUAAUGAUUCGAACGUACACCCACGAUAUAUGAUUAUGCUGAAAAUAAUAGAUUGUGCAAUAUUUUGUUACAAUAUAGUACGUCAGAUACAGAUACAGAUAUUACCACUUUUUCAACAUUUUUUAAAUUUAAUUUUUCUGAAU